AGUGAACGCUGGCGGUAGGCCUAACACAUGCAAGUCGAACGGCAGCACAGUAAGAGCUUGCUCUUACGGGUGGCGAGUGGCGGACGGGUGAGGAAUACAUCGGAAUCUACUUUUUCGUGGGGGAUAACGUAGGGAAACUUACGCUAAUACCGCAUACGACCUACGGGUGAAAGCAGGGGAUCUUCGGACCUUGCCCGAUUGAAUGAGCCGAUGUCGGAUUAGCUAGUUGGCGGGGUAAAGGCCCACCAAGGCGACGAUCCGUAGCUGGUCUGAGAGGAUGAUCGGCCACACUGGAACUGAGACACGGUCCAGACUCCUACGGGAGGCAGCAGUGGGGAAUAUUCGACAAUGGGCGCAAGCCUGAUCCAGCCAUACCGCGUGAGUGAAGAAGGCCUUCGGGUUGUAAAGCCCUUUUGUUGGGAAAGAAAGGCAGCAGGUUAAUACCCCGCUGUUCUGACGGUACCCAAAGAAUAAGCACCGGCUAAAUUCGUG
rnacentral:rRNA from 1 species